CCUACGGGUGGCAGCAGUGAGGAAUAUUGGUCAAUGGGCGGGAGCCUGAACCAGCCAAGCCGCGUGCGGGAAGAAGGUACAGCGUAUCGUAAACCUCUUUUGUCAGGGAACAAAGGCGGGGACUAGUCCCCGGCUGCGGGUACCUGAAGAAAAAGCAUCGGCUAAUUCCGUGCCAGCAGCCGCGGUAAUACGGAUGAUGCGAGCGUUAUCCGGAUUUAUUGGGUUUAAAGGGAGCGCAGGCGGGCUGUUAAGUCAGCGGUAAAAGCGCGGGGCUCAACCCCGGCGAGCCGUUGAAACUGGCGGGCUGGAGUUGGAAAGAGGUACGCGGAAUGCGCGGUGUAGCGGUGAAAUGCUUAGAUAUCGCGCAGAACCCCGAUUGCGAAGGCAGCGUGCCGG
rnacentral:rRNA from 1 species